GGCGUAAGCGCACGCAGGCGGUUUGUUAAGUCAGAUGUGAAAUCCCCGGGCUCAACCUGGGAACUGCAUUUGAAACUGGCAAGCUAGAGUCUCGUAGAGGGGGGUAGAAUUCCAGGUGUAGCGGUGAAAUGCGUAGAGAUCUGGAGGAAUACCGGUGGCGAAGGCGGCCCCCUGGACGAAGACUGACGCUCAGGUGCGAAAGCGUGGGGAGCAAACAGGAUUAGAUACCCCUGGUAGUCCAG
rnacentral:rRNA from 1 species